CUCUCUUCCCCUCUGCACACACGGAGAGAGGCCUCACCAGAAACCAACUGUGAUGGCGCCUUCAUCUUGGACUUCAGCCUCCAGAACUGCAUCAUAAAAUUCUGAACUUGCUAUGUAGAAUAUGAAAUUGCUACUGGAAGAUUGUUUAUUAAAAAAAGACUAGAAAUUUUUAAAUUUCCGGCACAGUUUAUGGAAGUAGCUGCUCCAGACAGCCUGCCACUGCUGCAGCAGGGAGGUGCCACCAGGGCUACACGCUCCAUGGAGCUGGCAGGAGCCCUGCCCCUUCUGAGUUGCAAGCCUGCAACUUCUGCAGCCACCCAAGUUGUGGCUGCAGAUCUGAGGCUUCCUGUGCUCUUUCGGGGUAAGCAGGUAGGAGCCCUGUUCUCCUGGGUGCCGCUGCAGCCACCCAAACUGUGGCUGCAGACCCGGGCCUCCUGCUCCACAGAACAGCCAGGAGCCCUGCCUCCUCCAGACGCACCUGCAGCCACUCAAACUGGUGGCUGCAGCUUCAGGCAUCCCUCCACUCUUGGGGGCCUGGGAAGGCCCCCCCUGCCUUCACAGGCUCAAAAGUAGCUGCCCCCACUGCCUGGCUUCUCCCUGCUGGUGGCUGUCAACACCCACUCUGAUCUCAGAGUAAAGCUGGGCUGAGCAGGGGCCAUGAAUGGCAGUGGGAGAUUCCUGGGCAGAAGCCGGGGGGUACCCGAUAAGACCCCACUUUCAGACCAGGGAGGGCCUGAAGGCUGAAGGACAGGCUGCCAGAUCCACAGACCAGAGUGGGGACCUGUGGUACCUCUUCUGAGUGCCCAUGCACCAGUUGGCUUGCAUUUCCUCCUCUCUGAGGUCCAUGAACACCCCAGGCUCAGCCAGAGCAAGGCAGAGGGUGGAGAAACAACUGGAGACUGGAUGACCAGCUGCAGAGAGGAGCUACCUUGUCUGCUGAGAGCUGGGAAGUCAACAGGGACCUGCCUGCAGAAUGGAGCCACCCACUCCAGGGCCUCCAGGGCCUCCUCCCUAUGGAGAGCUGAACACUGGAGGAGAUGACCUGCUUACAGAGAGGAGCUGCCCACUGCGGGUCGCCUCUGAGCUGUCCUAAGAUUCAAUAAAGCUUUUCUUUGUCUUGCUCACCC